rnacentral:rRNA from 1 species
AUGAACGCUAGCGGCAGGCUUAACACAUGCAAGUCGAGGGGCAACACGGGUAGCAAUACCUGGUGGCGACCGGCGGCAAGGGUGCGUAACGCGUGAGCAACAUGCCCUAUACAGGGGGAUAAUCCAGGGAAACUUGGUCUAAUAUCCCAUAGUAUUUAGAGGUGGCAUCACCACUAAAUUAAAGCUUCGGUGGUAUAGGAUUGGCUCGCGUGACAUUAGCUGGAUGGUGGGGUAACGGCUCACCAUGGCGAUGAUGUCUAGGGGUUCUGAGAGGAAGACCCCCCACACUGGGACUGAGACACGGCCCAGACUCCUACGGGAGGCAGCAGUGAGGAAUAUUGGACAAUGGAUGGAAAUCUGAUCCAGCCAUGCCGCGUGCAGGAAGACGGCCCUAUGGGUUGUAAACUGCUUUUAUAUGGGAGCAAUAAGGUUUACGCGUAGACCGAUGAGAGUACCAUAUGAAUAAGCAUCGGCUAACUCCGUG